AGUAAUGUAGUUUAUUAAUAAAAUUCUUAUUUUACACGUAAGGGAACUUUUUUAAGCUUUACUA
rnacentral:tRNA from 2 species